ACGUGAGAGGAGACUUCCGGCCACUGCGUUGUAGUCGGCCCGGCUGCAAAGCGUUUUUCUGCAGGCUGUUUUCCCAGGUUCCCUCGGCCUGUACCUCGCGCACUCCUCUUGCUCCAGGUCCUUCAGUCUCCGCUCGUCUCACCGUAGGCUGUGACGACAUGAGCAACAAAGAAGGAUCAGGAGGGUUCAGGAAAAGGAAGCAUGACAAUUUCCCACAUAACCAAAGAAGAGAAGGGAAGGAUGUUAAUUCAUCUUCACCCGUGAUGUUGGCCUUUAAAUCAUUUCAGCAGGAACUUGAUGCAAGGCAUGACAAAUAUGAGAGACUUGUGAAACUUAGUCGGGAUAUAACUGUUGAAAGUAAAAGGACAAUUUUUCUCCUCCAUAGGAUUACAAGUGCUCCUGAUAUGGAAGAUAUAUUGACUGAAUCAGAAAUUAAAUUGGAUGGUGUCAGACAAAAGAUAUUCCAGGUAGCCCAAGAGCUAUCAGGGGAAGAUAUGCAUCAGUUCCAUCGAGCCAUUACUACAGAAGUUUACAGGCAAGAUCCUACUCACAGAGGCUCUUGGGAUCAAGGCUGACAGAAGCUCCAUCUGAAGACUUUUAUACUAUAGAGGCAGAAAAAGAGUGAUGAAUCAAGCACUGGCUUCUAAAGCUUCCGCCCAGAUGGGAAGCAUAUCUCCUCUGCUCACAUUUCCCUGACCAAAGCCAGUCACAUGGCCAUCCUCAGCUUCAGAGAGGUUGGGAAGGCAUUCCCACUAUGUGUCUGGAUGCCAGCAACUCAGAAAUAUUUGGCAGCCGGGAUUGCUUACCACCUGCAGCGUGCUUUCGGAGGCGGCGGCUGGCACGGAGGCCGGGCUACAUGAGAAGCUCGACAGGGCCUGGGAUCGGGUUCCUUUCCCCAGCAGUGGGCACACUGUUCCGGUUCCCAGGAGGGGUGUCUGGCGAGGAGUCCCACCACUCGGAGUCCAGGGCCAGACAGUGUGGCCUUGACUCGAGAGGCCUCUUGGUCCGGAGCCCUGUUUCCAAGAGUGCAGCAGCCCCUACUGUGACCUCUGUGAGAGGAACCUCGGCGCACUUUGGGAUUCAGCUCAGAGGUGGCACCAGAUUGCCUGACAGGCUUAGCUGGCCGUGUGGCCCUGGGAGUGCUGGGUGGCAGCAAGAGUUUGCAGCCAUGGAUAGUUCUGAGACCCUGGACGCCAGCUGGGAGGCAGCCUGCAGCGAUGGAGCAAGGCGUGUCCGGGCAGCAGGCUCUCUGCCAUCAGCAGAGUUGAGUAGCAACAGCUGCAGCCCUGGCUGUGGCCCUGAGGUCCCCCCAACCCCUCCUGGCUCUCACAGUGCCUUUACCUCAAGCUUUAGCUUUAUUCGGCUCUCGCUUGGCUCUGCCGGGGAACGUGGAGAAGCAGAAGGCUGCCCACCAUCCAGAGAGGCUGAGUCCCAUUGCCAGAGCCCCCAGGAGAUGGGAGCCAAAGCUGCCAGCUUGGACGGGCCUCACGAGGACCCGCGAUGUCUCUCUCGGCCCUUCAGUCUCUUGGCUACACGGGUCUCUGCAGACUUGGCCCAGGCCGCAAGGAACAGCUCCAGGCCAGAGCGUGACAUGCAUUCUUUACCAGACAUGGACCCUGGCUCCUCCAGUUCUCUGGAUCCCUCACUGGCUGGCUGUGGUGGUGAUGGGAGCAGCGGCUCAGGGGAUGCCCACUCUUGGGACACCCUGCUCAGGAAAUGGGAGCCAGUGCUGCGGGACUGCCUGCUGAGAAACCGGAGGCAGAUGGAGGUAAUAUCCUUAAGAUUAAAACUUCAGAAACUUCAGGAAGAUGCAGUUGAGAAUGAUGAUUAUGAUAAAGCUGAGACGUUACAACAAAGAUUAGAAGACCUGGAACAAGAGAAAAUCAGCCUGCACUUUCAACUUCCUUCAAGGCAGCCAGCUCUUAGCAGUUUCCUGGGUCACCUGGCAGCACAAGUCCAGGCUGCCUUGCGCCGUGGGGCCACUCAGCAGGCCAGCGGAGAUGACACCCACACCCCACUGAGAAUGGAGCCGAGGCUGUUGGAACCCACUGCUCAGGACAGCUUGCACGUGUCCAUCACGAGACGAGACUGGCUUCUUCAGGAAAAGCAGCAGCUACAGAAAGAAAUCGAAGCUCUCCAAGCAAGGAUGUUUGUGCUGGAAGCCAAAGAUCAACAGCUGAGAAGGGAAAUAGAGGAGCAAGAGCAGCAACUCCAGUGGCAGGGCUGCGACCUGACCCCACUGGUGGGCCAGCUGUCCCUGGGUCAGCUGCAGGAGGUCAGCAAGGCCUUGCAGGACACCCUGGCCUCAGCCGGUCAGAUUCCCUUCCAUGCAGAGCCACCGGAAACCAUAAGGAGGUGUGUAUGAGUGAGAAAUUCUGCAGCACCCUGAGGAAGAAAGUUAACGAUAUUGAAACCCAACUACCAGCCUUGCUUGAAGCCAAAAUGCAUGCCAUAUCAGGAAACCAUUUCUGGACGGCUAAAGACCUCACCGAGGAGAUUAGAUCAUUAACAUCAGAGAGAGAAGGGCUGGAGGGACUCCUCAGCAAGCUGUUGGUGUUGAGUUCCAGGAAUGUCAAAAAGCUGGGAAGUGUUAAAGAAGAUUACAACAGACUGAGAAGAGAAGUGGAGCACCAGGAGACUGCCUAUGAAACAAGUGUGAAGGAAAAUACUAUGAAGUACAUGGAAACACUUAAGAAUAAACUGUGCAGCUGCAAGUGUCCACUGCUUGGGAAAGUGUGGGAAGCUGACUUGGAAGCUUGUCGAUUGCUUAUCCAGAGCCUACAGCUCCAGGAAGCCAGGGGAAGCCUGUCUGUAGAAGAUGAGAGGCAGAUGGAUGACUUAGAGGGAGCUGCUCCUCCUAUUCCCCCCAGGCUCCACUCCGAGGAUAAAAGGAAGACCCCUUUGAAGGUAUUGGAAGAAUGGAAGACUCACCUCAUCCCCUCUCUGCACUGUGCUGGAGGUGAACAGAAAGAGGAAUCUUACAUCCUUUCUGCAGAACUUGGAGAAAAGUGUGAAGACAUAGGCAAGAAGCUAUUGUACUUGGAAGAUCAACUUCACACAGCAAUCCACAGUCAUGAUGAAGAUCUCAUUCAGUCUCUCAGGAGGGAGCUCCAGAUGGUGAAGGAAACUCUGCAGGCCAUGAUCCUGCAGCUCCAGCCAGCAAAGGAGGCGGGAGAAAGAGAAGCUGCAGCUUCCUGCAUGACAGCUGGUGUCCACGAAGCACAAGCCUGAGGAGUGACGGGAUGGGGGAGGGAGGUGGGCCACCAUGUUUGGACCCGGGGGGCUGCUCUUCCCUCCCCCGCCAUAGCUAAGAUGCCUGAAUCAAUUACGGAGAUACAGAGCCUUGAGGUCUUUCAGUGGAAAGGUGGUUCAUGUUCAUUCUCAUCAGUGUGAAACUGAGGAGUCUGCAAUUUGGAAUAUGGAGAGAGAGACUGAUUUGCUGAAUUUCCUUCUAAAUGUCACUCAAAAAUUUCUUUUCCAUGUCAUUCUUGGGAAUGUCUUCCACAGGAUUUGAGAAUAGUUUCAUCUCAGCCCCCAUUAGAGAGAAGUUGGGGUGAAUUCUGGAAAAAUGUCUCUUUUUCCUGUGCCAUUUGCCUUCUGCUGCAACGAAAAUAUUUCCUGAUUCAAGAUUCUAUAAAAAGGAAACCAAGCAUAAGACUCUGUCAUCAUACCUGUUACACGUUCCUACAGGUGCACAAUCUAAGAGAGCUAAUUAACCUCAGAGUCUGGAGUUAACAGCUUUUCACCUUACUUCUCCUGUGAUCUAAUAUUAUCUUAGAAAAAUUAAUAUGCAAUUUCCAAAAGAUAUUUUGGUAAGACAACAACCUCCCAGUGAUAUGCCACCUUUCAAUUUUCCUUUUGUGGCAAUGAUUGCAUCUGAAGAAAGGAUCCCUGAGAGUCUCUGUUUCAUCAGGACAUUCUGAAAUUUACCCACAGUGAGGCUGUGGAUGGAUCAGGGGACCUGUAUAAAAUGUUUGAGCCUGUUCCAUUUUCCCGUGGAACCUGUUUCACUCAAUGCCAGGCAGUGCAGCAUUUAGGAAAGCAGUGCAGUACUCAGUAAGGCAGUGCAGUACUCAGUAACACAAUACAGUACUCAGGCAGUGCAGUACUCAGUAAGACAGUGCAGUGCUCAGUAAGGCAGUGCAAUACUCAGUAACAGUGUAGUACUCAGUAACAGUGAAGUACUCAGUAAUACAGUACAGUAUUCAGUAAGGCAGUGAAGUACUCAGUAAUACAAUACAGUACUCAGUUAGGCAGUGCAGUACUCAGGAAUGCAGCACAGUACUCAGGCAGUGCAAUACUCAGUGCGGUACUCAGUAACACAGUGCAGUACUCAGUAACAGUGCAGUACUCAGUAACAGUGCAGUACUCAGUAAGGCAGUGCAGUACUCAGUAACACAGUGCAGUACUCAGUAAUACAGUACAGUACUCAGUAAGGCAGUAUGGUACUCAGUAAAGCAAUGCAAUGCUCAGUAACACAGUGCAGUGCUCAAUAAGGCAGUGCAGUGCUCAGUAAGGCAGUGAAUUGCUUAGUAACACAGUGUAGUGCUCAGUAGGACAGCAUAGUACUCAGUAACACAGGGCAGCUAGUACUCAGUACUAUAAGUACUGAGUACUUAUAUAGGCAAUGUAGUACUCAGUAAAUCAGUGCAGUACUCAGUAAUGCAAGGGCAUUUCAGGCUCCUGCUGGGCUGCUUCUUUGGCCCAGCUGGGACUCCUAUUGAGACAGCUGCAAAACAGGCUGAUUUCAAUUAGGCAGCACUUCCCAAAGUGCACUGAGGAAGGUGGCCCCAAGAGAAGCUCUCUAAACAAAGGAGUACCCUCUCUGGUCAAGUACCUUUGGUAAAUACACCAUACCAUAAUAUCUGCUUGGAGAACCACAAUGCACAUUAGCAUAUUAGUCUGAGAGAGAACUUAUAGUAAGGAAACUCACUUGAUUUUAUCUAACCUCAAACUUUCCAAGUUUAAUGGAUCGUGAAUUUUUUUCAUGUAACUCCUAUUCAUAUCCCAUAGAUCUAGUAUUGUACAGCACUGCAUUCUCUGAGGAAGUCCCAGUCCAAACUCUGAUUUACAUCACUUUAGAAACCACACUCACACUUUUGCAGAGUGUUGAGCUUAAUAACUACCUGCCACAGAUUGGUAAAUUUAAUCCAGUGGUUGUUCUGUUUGUGCUUCUGUUCUCAUUUAUGUGUUUAGGGAUAGUGAGGUUCCUGCCUUCACUAGGAUCCACGGAUAUGAGACCAUUUUUGUCAUUUCCUGAAGUCACACUGGCGUUUCCAGAAGGCAUCUGGUGCUUUGCUCAGCCUUCCAUGCUGUGCAGCACUUCUGUCCUCAGUCAAGGAGAUGGCCAUGCUUAAGCCAGCAAUUGGCUGGGGUCCAGGAAACAAAGCAAAAGCACAAUAUGUGAAUGUGCUGAUUGUGUUCCCUAUGGCUUUAUCUCGAGCAAAAUACACUCUACAUAUUUUAAUAAUAAGUAUAAUUAGCUUGUUCCUGGACUUCAUUUUCAAUGAUGAACCAAAUUCCUGAAUUAUUUAUAAUUGUGUCUAAAGAAAAUUAUGAACUGGUCACAUGGCACUUGGAAUCCUUGAGUUAAUUCCAGUGAAGCAAAACUUGGGAAGAGUCAGGAUUGGCCACAUUGCCAAUAACAAAUUCCUACUUCGACAUAUGUCUUUUCAAAAAGCCUCCCAGACACAAGACAUCUUAACCGUCACUAGCCCAAGUGUUUUGUAUUACUCAGACACCAUCAUGAAAUAAUUCUGUGAGGUCAUGAUGUAUUUGAAAAUUCUGCAAGUUAAUAACUGCCUUGAAUUGUUUGAACCCGAAAUAAGGGUUCUUUGGUACCUCUAGUAGAUAGUGUGUUCAUUUCCCUGCUGCAAAUUUUGAAGUAUUUGGGCAGGUGAGUCAUGUUUUAACCACAAGCCAUAACUCAUCUGUUGUCUUUGCUUGGUCUUAGAGUAUCAUUCAGAAAGUCCGCUAAGGGCCAGCGUGCUUCUUCUGGCUACACAACCUUCUCAGGACAAGCCCACUGUCUUAAGCCACUUUGACCCUGGGAGACACAGGACUGUGUAUCCUCAAUCAUACUAUACAGCAGUUUUUGUCAGGGGAACAUAAAAAUAUCCAAGAGAGGUUAGGGCUUAGAUUUAAAAGCAUCAAAACAACAACAAUGGAAAUUUAUGUUGGCGAUAGCCAAGACCACAAGCAAAAGCACAUACUGGAAAUGAUGAGUUAGAAUCUGAUUUGACUGGGAUGUUUUAUGAGAAUGUAAGUGUGAUAUUAUACUGUCUGCCUUGCUGGAAUGCUGGCUUUCAAAUGGUCACCCAUUUUUCUUUCACUGGCCUGAGUUAGGACAUGCUAUCAGUAAUAGUCCCAGUUCCAUCCAACUUUCUGAAAUUUCAUUUUUUUUUUUGAGAUGGAGUCUCUCUCUGUCACCCAAGUUGGAGUGCAGUGGCCCCGCAAUCUCGGCUCACUGCAACCUCUACCUCCCAGGUUCAAGCUAUUCUACUGCCUCAGCCUCCCAAGUAGCUGGGGUUACAGGCAUUUGCCACCGGGCCCUGAUGAUUUUUGUAUUUUUAGUAGAGACAGGGCUUCACCAUGUUGGCUAGGAGGGUCUCAAACUCCUGACCUCAGGCGAUCCACCCCCACCUCGGCUUCCCAAAGUGCUGAGAUUACAGGUGUGAGCCACCGCACCCGGCCAACUUUCUGAAAUUUCAAAACUGAAUUGAUCCUUCUCCAAAUUAGUAUAUACUAUUGGAAACUUGUCUUUCCCUGCAGUAAGGCUGGUUUCCCCACCCCAGAAACAUGUAACGGUUGGUACCAUGCUAAGCCCUUGCCAUGCUAAGCCCUUUACAGUCAUAUCCUAUAAUCCCCAUAUCAACCUUAUAAGGAAGGUGUUUGUAGAUGAUGCAACUGAGCCUUAAGAGGACUAAUUCCCUUUUUCUAAGGCACAGAGCUGGUAAAAUGUGAAGUAAUAGUGAACCUAACAGUCAGAGACAGGCAGCAUGCUCUUAACUAGUGCUCUUCCUAAAGUUCCUUUAAUGUCCUUUUGAGAUUUUGAGCCAUGGAACUUACUUGUUCACCUGGCUAAGAACUCAUGGCCACUGUGGAAAUCUUGGUUAGGGAGUCAAAGAAACUGAGCCUGGGGCAAACGAGGCUUCCCACACUGCCAGGGGAGCCUCACUGUGAAGUCUAGGCUCAGACAGGCAUCAACAAACCUAUUCACCCCACCAUCAUCCUGAUCUAACCAUUCCCCAGUCAUCCCAGGAAAACCACUCACAGCCUGACACUGGGCUGACUUUCUUGAAGAUCCUCAUCCAAUUGGUGUUUUUCAGAAGUGUUCCAAUAUUAUGAAUUCUGUGUUGUGGAGAAAAGCAACCAUGCAUUUACUGGUCAAUGCCUUCUUGUAUAUGUAAUUCAAUACUUUUACUUUUAAUAUCCUCACCUUAUCUAAUCUUUGAAUUUUGUCAUGUAAUUUAUUGCUUCAUUAAGGUUACUUUUUGUUAUACAAAAUAAAAGCUGAUAUCCAAGGCAUGGUGCAUCUUGAUGAUUUUUUGUCCUUUGAAGUAUGGAUGAUAGAAAAAUGUAUCAGGUUUAUUCAUCUCAUCUUUCUGUUACAGGAUGAUUAAUUGUACAGUUACAUCACACGAAACAUUUAUAAUAAAGUCAUGCUUUAGAA